rnacentral:lncRNA from 1 species
GGCAGGACUGCGGGUGGCUUGUGACUUGCCUAACUGAGGAGCUGUGGAGAGCCUGACCUGUACCUCCGAAGAGGAAUCUUCUUGGUGUGACCCCUGCAUCACAGCUACCCAGGAUGGUCCCACGCCCCAGCUUUAUUUCUUCUCUGAGGACAAGGUCUGCAGUGAUGGGGGUAACUUCAGUGCAUUUAUGCAGAAGGAGAUCUUUGAACAGCCAGAAUCCGUUUUCAAUACCAUGAGAGGCCGAGUGAACUUUGAGACCAACACAGAGCUCCUGGGUGGCUUAAAGGACCACUUGAAGGAGAUUCGACGAUGCCGAAGGCUCAUCCUGAUUGGCUGUGGCACCAGCUACCACGCCGCUGUGGCUGUAAGUGUGCCACACUGGGUCCGGGGCAGUGCUGGGAUUAGCGGCCUGAGUGCUGUUGCACACUGGCCUCUGAAUGCAGCACAGUGCUCACACCCAUAGCCACAAGCCAGCCUGGAAGUGGCACCAACAUUUCCUCUGCAAGCCUCUCCCACUGGGACAGCAAGGCACUGGUGCACCUGGCGGGGGGUGACUGAGGGGCAGGGGCCUGGUCGUGGUAAUGACUCUCCGCCUCUCUUUGGGCCCUUGCCCUGGCUCCAGCAAAGCAUGCAGAAGAGGGGCUCUCUGUGAGUGACGCUUUCACAGGGAGCGCAUCUCUCAGGUAUCCGGUAGGGGACCUUUCUCAGCACAUGGUAUGCAGACAAGCUGUGAUGCCUUUACAGUGCCCGCCACCAGGUCCUGCCCUGUGCUCUCUGCCUGUA